GUGCCCUCUGGGCGGUUGUGAGGCUGUGCAGCCUGCGGCUUCUGCCCUCUUUCUUUCCCUGACUGGUUGGGUCCGGCCUCCGAGGCCUGUACCCCGCCUUUUCCGCAUAGGCAUGUGACCAGGGUCUCCCGCGGAGUUUUGCUGAGAAUUUUGGAAAUGAAGCAUGUGGAGCGCCUAUGUCGGGGGAGAGAGGCCGAGCUGAAGGAGCACGGGCGCCGGCCUCGGCCUCUGGGGAGCCGGGCCCGCUCGCCUCCCUGCGCGGGGCUAGCCCGAGCCUGGAACUCGGGAGGCCCAGGAGCGAAGUGAAAGCCCCUUCUGGUCCCCCAGGGCUCCACUCCCGCAGCAGCCCGGCUCCGUCGGCGUCAGUGGAGCCCCAGGCCUGGGUCCGAGAUGAGCGAGACGCUGCUCUGGCUCGCGGUCGCCCGAGCGCUCCCAAAACCAGGGAACAGGCCCCAGGAGAGAAGCCCCUAGAAGUUUCCUGGAGCAGGGAGUCUCCUGUAUCCUGUUAGCUCUGCAAAGGAAUCUGGACUUUAUUCUGAGGGCCUUGGAGAACCCCUGCAAAGUUUUUUAAAAGGCUGGAGUGCACUAGCAAGAUCACAGUUUACUUCAGUCUCAACCUCCUGGGUUCAAGUGAUCCUCCUACCUCAGCUUCCCAAGUAGCUGGGACCACAGUUGCCACCAAGGUGCUUGGUCCUUCCGAGGAAGCUAAGGCCACAUUGGGGUGAGGCCAUCACUUCAUCCAGUGACUAGCACCACCUCUGGCAAUGUCAGCCCCACACUCGCCCGCGCCAUGGCCUCCAUCUCCGAGCUUGCCUGUGUCUACUUGGCCCUCAUUCUGCACGAUGACGAGGUGAUCAUCAUGGAGGUUAAUAUCAAUACCCUCAUUAAAGCAGCCAGUGUAAAUGUUGAACCUUUUGGCCUGGCUUGUUUGGAAAGGCCCUGGCCAACGUCAACAUUGGAAGCCUCAUCUGCAAUGUAGGGGCUGGUGGACCUGCUCUAGCAGCUGGUGCUGCACCAGCAGGAGGUCCUGCCCCCUCCAUUGCUGCUGCUUCAGCUGAGGAGAAGAAAAUGGAAGCAAAGAAAGAAGAAUCUGAGGAGUCUGAUGAUGACAUGGGCUUUGGUCUUUUUACUAAACCUGUUUUAUAAUGUGUUCAAUAAAAAGCUGACUUUACUGCUGUUGGUCUUGCCCAUAGUUUGGGAAUGUGCUCUGCAAAAAUGGUCUCAGUUUUGUAAUGUUGGCUUUUAACCUAUUCUGCCAUGACACAGGCUGGUUUUGCCUGCCACCGUUGCCUGAUGUGAGAUCUUGGACAAUCCUGAUGCCAACAAGAAGGCACCUCAUGGUACAGUGUUGAAAGCUGAAGUGGGGUGGCAGGAGGAAGGAUCAGAGCAGAUGCUUUGUCCAAGUUACGUAUAAACUUGAUAAUUAUCAAGUAUUAUAAACUUAAUAGAGCCACCAUGUCCAAUUUUUAAUUGUGGUAAAACAUACAGAACAUAAAAUUCCUCUUUCUAACCAUUUUUAAGUGUAUAAUUCAGU
rnacentral:lncRNA from 1 species